UACGAAGGGGGCGAGCGUUGUUCGGAAUUACUGGGCGUAAAGGGCGCGUAGGCGGCCGAUCAAGUCAGAUGUGAAAGUCCUGGGCUUAACCUGGGGACUGCAUUUGAUACUGUCAGACUAGAGUACAGAAGAGGUGACUGGAAUUCCCAGUGUAGCGGUGAAAUGCGUAGAUAUUGGGAGGAACACCAGAUGCGAAGGCGGGUCACUGGGCUGAUACUGACGCUGAAGUGCGAAAGCCAGGGGAGCGAACGGG
rnacentral:rRNA from 1 species